GACGAACGCUGGCGGCGUGCUUAACACAUGCAAGUCGAACGAAAAGGCCCCUUUGGGGGUCCUCGAGUGGCGAACGGGUGCGUAACACGUGAGUAACCUGCCCUUGACUUCGGGAUAACUUCAGGAAACUGGGGCUAAUACCGGAAAGGGAUCCUUGCUGCAUGGUGGGGGUUGGAUAGCUUCGGCGGGUUUGGCUGGCCUCGCGGGAUAUCCGCUUGCUGGUGGGGUAGUGGCUUACCAAGGCGUUGACGGGUAGCCGGCCUGCGAGGGCGACCGGCCACACUGGGACUGAGAUACGGCCCAGACUCCUACGGUAGGCAGCAGUGGGGAAUAUUGCACAAUGGGCGGCAGCCUGAUGCAGCAACUCCGCGUGCGGGAUGACGGCCUUCGGGUUGUAAACCGCUUUCAUCAGGGGCGAAGCUUGUGGUGACGGUACCUGCAGAAGAAGCACCGGCUAACUACGUG
rnacentral:rRNA from 1 species